UCCAACUGCAGCUGCAAAGUGGACAAGAAAGAGGGAAUUCUCAAGACUGAAACACUUAAACUUCUUAAACGUGGGCUGGGGGAAAGCUAGAUUUUUGAAGAAUUUGGCAUGACUUCCCUUGGGCUACAAAGAGGUCUGCAGGGACUGAUGCUGGUCUAAGCUUUGUCCUAAGGCAUUUUAGCUGUCAUCUUCACUGCAGCACUCAAUGCCUUGUAUUUCUGAAAGGGCAGGAAACUUUGUUCCUGCUUGGAACAAUGUAAAUGGCAACGGGACUCACCCUGAGCUUGGUGGAUUCUUGCUGUACACAGGCUGUAUUGCUUGAUGCAACAGGCAAUAAGAAUGAAGAGAUGCUGCUGCUAGGAGUGGGGAAUGGUAUCAGACAGCCCAUGCACAGUGAGAAGCUGGCACUUUGACCUGUGCUGGACUUCCAGGAAAAGCCAUCCUGAGAUGAGCCUGGUGGCUACAGGUUUCAAACACUUACAACAGUCACAGCCCCCCAUACAGGAGCUCGAAGGUGAUGUCUAAUUGACAAAAUAUGCCCUGCAAUGAAUCAGUGACCUGGAAACUUUACAAUUUACAGUCUUGUGCAUCACAGAUGUUUCUGGCAGGAUUUUUUUGAACUGCUCCCCUGAACAGCUCUUAGCACAGAGGUUUAAGUGCAGCUUCUCCUUUUAUUGCCUUUACGACAUACUCUGCUGGACCUUCAAUGAGCCAGCGGCACUUCAUGUCCCUGGGAUACAAGCCAGGCUAAUUAGCAGUAUCAAUCUUCCCCUCUUCCACUAACAC